UUGAUAUCUUCAAUAUCAUACUCUAUCGUAUAAGCUAUUUAAAUAAAUUAAUAAUAUAAAUAAAAAA
rnacentral:tRNA from 1 species